GCCGGCGUAGCUCAGGUGGUAGAGCAGCGCACUCGUAAUGCGCAGGUCAUCGGUUCGAGUCCGAUCGCCGGCUCCA
rnacentral:tRNA from 3 species